UACGUAGGUGGCAAGCGUUGUUCGGAAUUAUUGGGCGUAAAGGGCGCGUAGGCGGUUUGCUAAGUCAGUUGUGAAAGCCCGGGGCUCAACCCCGGAGGGUCGGCUGAUACUGGUGGACUAGAGUACGGAAGAGGUAGCUGGAAUUCCCGGUGUAGCGGUGAAAUGCGUAGAUAUCGGAAGGAACAUCAGUGGCGAAGGCGACUUCCUGGACCAAUACUGACGCUCAGGUGCGAAAGCGUGGGGAGCAAACAGG
rnacentral:rRNA from 1 species